GCCGGUCAUGGAUCUGAGAUUCAGGUCAUGAUAGUUGUUGACCAAGUUUGUAUAUGGAGGAGUGGUUCUCUGGCUUGGGUUUAUUUAUGGAACUCGCAAUGUUGGAAGGGUGAAGUUACCUCUUGGUGUAAUCGGUUCUCUGUUAUAGAUGGUUCUCCAACAUGCAAAACCAUUUAAACAGCUUCACCUCAUUGGACCCUUGUUCACUCCCCCUGCCAAUGUUACUGCCAUGGUGAAAGUUGCAAUAACAGCAGCAACUGAUCCAGUUUUCCCUCCUGGCAUCGUGGAUGUUUAUAGAAUGUCGCAUUAUAGCCAACAGCAAAGAGCAACAUGGAUUUGUUGAUAUUGAGAGUUCGUUUUGUUUUCUUCACCAAUAUAGAGUUCAUCAUCAAUAUCAAGAUUUCAUAUGUUUUCUUCUUCUUUGUAAGUUCUUAAAAUGUUAGCUAUUGGAGGUGGACUCGCAGCAUUUUGUGAACUGGAGACUCACAAAAAGGUUCCAUUAACAUAUCUAAUGAAAUAAAAAUACAUGAUAAGAACCAGCUCAUACCCUGUAUGUCUCUUGAUCAAAAGAGUUUAUGUAGGUCCCAUAAUAAAAAUCAUUAAAGCUAAAUUAUUUUUUGA